UGCCCUAGUAACGGCGAGUGAAGCGGCAACAGCUCAAAUUUGAAAUCUGGCUCUCGGGCCCGAGUUGUAAUUUGUAGAGGAUGCUUUUGAUGCGGUGCCUUCCGAGUUCCCUGGAACGGGACGCCAUAGAGGGUGAGAGCCCCGUCUGGUUGGAUGCCAAAUCUCUGUAAAGCUCCUUCGACGAGUCGAGUAGUUUGGGAAUGCUGCUCUAAAUGGGAGGUAUAUGUCUUCUAAAGCUAAAUACCGGCCAGAGACCGAUAGCGCACAAGUAGAGUGAUCGAAAGAUGAAAAGCACUUUGAAAAGAGAGUUAAAAAGUACGUGAAAUUGUUGAAAGGGAAGCGUUUAUGACCAGACUUGGGCUUGGUUAAUCAUCUGGGGUUCUCCCCAGUGCACUUUUCCAGUCCAGGCCAGCAUCAGUUUUCGCCGGGGGAUAAAGGCUUCGGGAAUGUGGCUCUCUCCGGGGAGUGUUAUAGCCCGUUGCGUAAUACCCUGGCGGGGACUGAGGUUCGCGCAUCUGCAAGGAUGCUGGCGUAAUGGUCAUCAACGACCCGUCUUGAAACACGGACCAAGGAGUCGUCUUCGUAUGCGAGUGUUCGGGUGUCAAACCCCUACGCGUAAUGAAAGUGAACGCAGGUGAGAGCUUCGGCGCAUCAUCGACCGAUCCUGAUGUUCUCGGAUGGAUUUGAGUAAGAGCAUACGGGGCCGGACCCGAAAGAAGGUGAACUAUGCCUGUGUAGGGUGAAGCCAGAGGAAACUCUGGUGGAGGCUCGCAGCGGUUCUGACGUGCAAAUCGAUCGUCAAACAUGGGCAUGGGGGCGAAAGACUAAUCGAACCUUCUAGUAGCUGGUUUCCGCCGAAGUUUCCCUCAGGAUAGCAGUGUUGAACUCAGUUUUAUGAGGUAAAGCGAAUGAUUAGGGACUCGGGGGCGCUAUUUANCCUUCAUCCAUUCUCAAACUUUAAAUAUGUAAGAAGCUCUUGUUGCUUAAUUGAACGUGAGCAUUCGAAUGUAUCACACUAGUGGGCCAUUUUGUAGA
rnacentral:rRNA from 1 species